rnacentral:rRNA from 1 species
UACAGAGGGUGCGAGCGUUAAUCGGAAUUACUGGGCGUAAAGCGCGCGUAGGCGGCUUUGCAAGUCGAGUGUGAAAUCCCCAGGCUUAACCUGGGAACUGCAUUUGUGACUGCAUCGCUGGAGUGCGGCAGAGGGGGAUGGAAUUCCGCGUGUAGCAGUGAAAUGCGUAGAUAUGCGGAGGAACACCGAUGGCGAAGGCAAUCCCCUGGGCCUGCACUGACGCUCAUGCACGAAAGCGUGGGGAGCAAACAGG